rnacentral:lncRNA from 12 species
GCAUCACAUAACCAACAUGUAGCCAUCAGUUACAUUGACAGAAUCGAUCGAACCUGUGUGACACGAGCUAAGAGUAAGUGGACUUCUGUGUCUGUUAUAAGGAAGAAUUUCUCCAUCCAUUCUUUCAUGUAUUUAUUCAAAAGUAUUUAUUGAUCAUCUACUGUUUGCUACAGGAAUAUAAAGAUGAAUACCAAAGUUUUUGUUCCCAAGGUGUUACACUUUAGUAAAGAGAAAUUGAUACCUAUACUGUGAUUUGAAGAGUUCCAUGGACAAAAAUUGAUAUUAUAGUCUAAAGGAAAUUUGAGAUGCCAUACAAAGAUACGUAAAAUAAU